UUGCCUCACCUGUGUUUGAUUGCACCUUGUGUGUUUACCUUCUUCUCUACCCUCCAGUGUUUGACUCCCAGUUUUCCUUUGUGGAAUUUUGUUGGAUGUUUUGGAAUUUAAAUCAAAUAAUACUCCAGGGUGUGGGUGAACAGAGAUGUGCAGACCUUGGCUCCGGUUCUUCAGAAUGUCCUCCACCUUCUUCACCGUCAUCUCCAGCACCUCUGCGUUCUCCAUCUUGGAGUGAAACUGUGGAAAACAAACAAACAAGCUCGAUCAGAACCAGAAUCUCCAUGUGUGUCAUCUGUCCCAGUAGGACUCAUCGUCCUCUGAACCGGGUCCGGUAACGCUGGGCCGAGCUGCGGGGGCCAUGUUGGUCGUAUCGCCGCUUCUCUGGCUUCUCCCACCGCUGCUUCUUCCUCCGCAAUCUUCAGCGAGGAGCAGCUGGCAAACGGAACCGGUUACUGGAAGAAGAAGAAGAA